rnacentral:rRNA from 3 species
AAAACUUUCAACAACGGAUCUCUUGGUUCUGGCAUCGAUGAAGAACGCAGCGAAAUGCGAUAAGUAAUGCGAAUUGCAGAAUUCCAGUGAGUCAUCGAAUCUUUGAACGCACAUU